UACGUAGGGAGCAAGCGUUGUCCGGAAUCAUUGGGCGUAAAGCGCGCGUAGGUGGCUUCGUAAGUCCGUUGUGAAAGUCAAAGGCUCAACCUUUGAAAGCCGAUGGAUACUGCGGAGCUAGAGUACGGAAGAGGCGAGUGGAAUUCCUGGUGUAGCGGUGGAAUGCGCAGAUAUCAGGAGGAACACCAAUAGCGAAGGCGGCACUCUGGGCCGGUACUGACGCUGAGGAGCGAAAGCGUGGGGAGCAAACAGG
rnacentral:rRNA from 1 species